CCCAUAGCUGGGGGAGGGAAUAAAUGGAACUGAGGAACAUUUAACAGAAGACAUGCAUGUCACCAUAACAGGAGCUAUGGCAGACAGACCCUAGAGACUAAAACAAAACAACCAAAAUGGCAGCAUAUAGACCCCGGAGACACCAGGACCAGUCCUGCUCCAGCAGCUUGGAGGACAUCUUUGUCACAGGGACCUUGUGUGCGGAGCGAUUCUGCCGAGCAUCCCCCACAGCUGGAAGUGCGUAGUGAGCUCCCGGCCCACAGGGGUCUCUCCUUUCUAGGCUGAGAUGGCCCUCCCCCGCUUCGGCAGGAUCUCCACACACCGAUUCGGCCAACUGUGGGUGGAAAACACUCAAGGAAAAAAACAUUUCUCUCCUGCUCGUUCGUCGUUCCUCCUGAGCUGAGGGCAAUGUUUACGUUGUGUUUAGGCUUCUUGUAGGUAUGGGCUGUUCAUGUGAUCAUUAAGCCAAACUGCUUAAGUCCGUUGGAGUUGUGCGUGGACGCUUUCACUAAGGGAGUGGAAGUCCAUAGGCCCUCAGGGAAGGGCAAUGGGACUCCGGGAUGGCACUCCGGAUGUGGAGGAGCGACCGUAUGGAAAGUGUCUGCGGGACUGUGGGCAUCACUCAGUCUGUGAAGUUCUGUUCUCACUAGCACGGGGGCCGAGAGUGUUCACUAGAACUUUAAAAAUGCCAGGAGUAUGCCACACGUGUGACCCAGCACAGGGGAGGCUGAGACUGCAAAGCAGCCAGUGUGGCAGGAGCAACCCUGGAGGAUGCCCCUGGCUCCACAUGUCUGCAAACACACAUGUGAACACACACACACUCUAAAAAGAUAAUACACAGAGGGAACAGCAAGGAAGCCCAGGCAUUAGUAAGCAUGGGAGACGCACAGCUGGUGCCCUUUGCAGCGAGACUCCUGUGAGGACAUCGCCGUAAACCUGUCACACACAGGGUGGGGCUGGGCCCUCUUUCCUGGUCAGCACAAGGUGAGCCUGGGAGCCUCCCGAAGACCAUGCCGGAAAGGCGGGAUCUGGCUCCUCUCACAAGCACCAACACGAGAACACGAGCGACUCCCUGAGCUGCAGCCAGCGCGGCUCUGCUCUGUAAACAGAGGCCUGGCCUACUUACUUCUUCCCAGGGGUUGGGUAAGAGCCUGACUCACGAACACACAAAACUGUGGCCUAAUUGGAUACUAAUUACUCAGAAGAGAGCUGUUUACUCAAACUUCCAGUGACCCGAGCUCCUCACGACAGGAGGGCAGGUGGCAAGAGGCCUCGAGGACCGUGACAGGGUCAGGAUGGAGCCCUGGAAGUCCCUUACAGAAAGGUUGGAUAUCCCUGGUUGCACAAGAGUAAACAAAGUUCGGCUCUCAGUCAAGGUAGCCAAGGCGGUAGAAUGGCUGUGGUGCUGAACUCCGAGCUCUUUUUGGCUGUUGCUGAGGUAGACUCUGAACUGGCUGCGGUGUCAUGCUCACCGGGGGAUGGAGACCAUUGGCAGGUGAGAAGACAGGAAGAAAGGAUGGAGAUGGAGGCUGGCGGCUUCAGGCCAGGAGCUGGAGACGCAGGCUCUCGGGGGAGGGAGCCUGGGACAGCCUGGGCCUGGUGAUUAGUGGGAAGUGGAGAAAAAAAGACAUUUGAUAGCAGCAAAAUCCAUAAACACUUCUCCACAGAGAACUCUGAGAGCUGAAAAUGUUUUGUAAAUAACAGCAACAAAGGACAGGCAAGCCCGUCCGCAGCUGCCCCGCCUAGCCGCCACCAUCCCACCCAUUCCCAUGUCGCUCUGAGAGACUUCCGGCUGCCGGAAUGUCUGUCUUUAGUAUGCAGGUAGAUAGAGCUCAUGGGGGAAAUCACCCUCUCUGAGAAGUUCGCCCCAGGAUUCGUCCCUGUCUUAGGAGGGCUGCAGAAAGGAAGUGGAGUGGGAGCCUUCUGAGGAUCUCCACCUUGCCAUCGGGCCCACACCAGAACUACUUUCCUGCUGCUCCAGGACAUGUGUUCACCUCAGAAGUUCAAGGCCCGAGAGAAGCUUGGCCAGGGAAAAGAUGGAGAGACUUUAGAGAACUCUAGUCACUGGCUUCCCAUCACUGGACCAGAAUCCCCCAGGGUAAGGGUUGACGGGAUCUCCUUGGAGACAAAUCCCUGGAGUGCUGUGAUACUCAGGUUAGGGUGGUGAGGGGACCCAGCAGCGCUUUCCCUGGGGUGGGUCCCAGGACCGACUCUAAAGGAAGAAGAACUGCAUCAUGAAUCCGGCUUUCUGCUUCCUGGCUGUAGCUGCAGCGUGCCUGGUUGGCCACGGCCAGGACCCUGUCACUGU